GCCAAACAGCUAGCUCAAACCACAAGAGCCUAAGUUAAUAAUAUACAUAGCUCUACAUAAACUAGAUUUAAUUAAACUAAACCAUUCGACCACCCCAGUAUGGGCGACAAAAAAGGAUAAACGAAGCCAUAGAUAAAGUACCGCAAGGGAAAGCUGAAAGAGAACUGAAACAACGCACUUAAGCACAGAAAAGCAGAGACUACCUCUCGUACCUUUUGCAUCAUGAUCUAGCCAGUAAACCCAAGCAAAGAGAACUCUAGUUUGAACCCCCGAAACCAGACGAGCUACUCCGGGACAGCCUAUAGUAGGGCCAACCCGUCUCUGUGGCAAAAGAGUGGGAAGAUCCCCGAGUAGAGGUGAAAGACCUACCGAGUCCGGUUAUAGCUGGUUGCUCAAGAAAUGAAUACAAGUUCAGCCCCGCUACGCCCCUCGCCACAACAGUUUUACUAAGACUAGGCAAAGGGACACUAACGGAAGUUAGUUGAAGGAGGUACAGCUCCCUCAACAAAGGACACAACCUUCAACAGGAGGCUAAAGAAUAAAUUAAAACGAGGCCACAGGUUUCAGUGGGCCUAAAAGCAGCCAUCUGAACAGAAAGCGUUAAAGCUCGGACCAGAACAAGCCUAUUAUAAUAUUAUAACCUCUAAUGCCCCUAUUACUACUGAGCCAUCCUAUGCCUACAUAGGAGGGACCAUGCUAGAACGAGUAACAAGAAGAAUGAACUUCUCCCCGCACAAGUGUAAGUUGGAUCGGACCCCCCACCAACAAUUAACGAACCCAAUAAUAGAGGAGCCUACACCCCCGCCACCCUAGGCCAAGAAGACCACGUAUUACCAUAUCGUUAACCCCACACAGGAGUGCUAGACAAGGGAAAGACUAAAAGGAUGAAAAGGAACUCGGCAAACCGAAACCCCGCCUGUUUACCAAAAACACCGCCUCCUGACCACACCACAUAGGAGGUCCCGCCUGCCCAGUGACCAAAAGUUUAACGGCCGCGGUAUUUUAACCGUGCAAAGGUAGCGCAAUCAAUUGUCUUUUAAAUGAAGACCUGUAUGAAUGGCAUAACGAGGGUUUAACUGUCUCUUUCUCCUGGUCAGUGAAACUGAUCUACCCGUGCAGAAGCGGGUAUGAAUAUACAAGACGAGAAGACCCUAUGGAGCUUUAGACGCCCACCAAUCACGAAAAGCAGGUCUCGCUCAACAGACUUCCAAACAACGUGAUACUGGCACAAACGUCUUCGGUUGGGGCGACCGCGGGAGAGAAAAAAGCUCCCGAGAGGAUUGGGGCUACCCUAAAACCAAGAGCUACACCUCUAAGUCACAAAACAUUUGACCAAAAAUGAUCCGGCUACAUGCCGAUUAACGAACCAAGUUACCCUAGGGAUAACAGCGCAAUCCCUUCCCAGAGUCCAUAUCGACGAAGGGGUUUACGACCUCGAUGUUGGAUCAGGACAUCCUAAUGGUGCAGCCGCUAUUAAGGGUUCGUUUGUUCAACGAUUAAAGUCCUACGUGAUCUGAGUUCAGACCGGAGUAAUCCAGGUCAGUUUCUAUCUGUAAUAACACCCUUCCCAGUACGAAAGGACCGGAAUGGUAAGGCCCAUGCUUUAAGGUACGCCUCCCCCUGACCUGAUGACUACAACUAAAGUAGGUAAAAGGUGACAACUCUCAGCCCUAAGAGAAAGGCAU
rnacentral:rRNA from 1 species